GCCGGGGGCGGGCGCGGGCGCGGGCGCGGGAGGGCCCCUAACCACCCCCUGCUCUGGCUGCAGAUCGACCCGCUCUCAGAGCGUUGGCACCGCGGUGGGCGUUUGCUGUGUGACUCAGGGCAAGUGUGCACGCCUCUCUGAGCCUCCGCGGCCUUCUUCUCUAGCAAAAUGGUGGAGCCGGUACCCGGCUGUAAGGCAAGCCGGGAGGCGCGGAGCAGCGCGUGGAGAGCUGGACUGGAGUUCUCACUCGGCCGCUGGGUGACUUCGGUGCACUAGGGAUACUAGCAGUACCGCCUCAUGGGGCUGUAGGAGGACUAAAUGGGAUAAUAUUUGUAGUGUUUAGAACAGCGUCUACUGCGUGAAAAGUAGUAUUUAUUGGUUAGAGAGACUUCAGGAGGUCUUGCUCAGUGAUUGACUUCUCCCUUCCCUGUCUCCACCCCCCACAUUCCCGUUUGUGAGCCAAGCCUUGCUUUUGCACCGGCCAGGCUCUCUGCCUGGAAAUACAUACCCAUCUCAAACCAGGGCUUUAAAACCUCCUGCUCUGGGACGCCUUCCUCUACUUCUCACAGUUCAGGUGAAUCUGUGGUGUCCUGUAAGUGUGGAAAAUAUGAAAGGAAGUUUAACUGACGUUAAGGACAGGAGAGACCUCGGGUUUGAACCAGCUCAACUGUGUACUAGCCCGGCCCGCGAUCCUGGGCGAGUUCCUGGCCAACGAGGCUCAGUUUUCUUAUGAGUAAAAUGAAGUUCUUCACAGCAAUCUCAUUGCUAUCAUGAGAGGUGCAAUUUCCAGAUAAGCUCAUGAAGUGUUUAGCAUGGAAGUUCUCAUUUACUGGUUGGUGAUAUUGUUGGAUUAUUUAUUUGGUUUGUUAGUAGAUAAAUGAAUGCUGGUCUCGAUUUCCUGGGCUCAAGCGGUCCUCCCACCUUAGCCUCCGUAGUAGCUGGGAGUGCAGGCAUGUGCCGGUGCACUGGGAGUGGUCUUGUUAUUAUCUGACUUCGCCUUAUUUCCUCUAGACCACGGCCUUACGUGACACACAGUGAAGGAAAAGACCCCCAGUCCCAAGGUCUGACCAAAGUCUUGAGGAUCCCUUUCCCCGUGGAGGGAGUCAUGGUGGUCUUACUGUCUUGGAAACCAGGAGAACCGACCACAUGACCCCUGGAGUUCUCUAGCCAUGUGUCCAGUUCUGGCUGAGGGGUAGCUUGAUUGGCCUGUGAGCACCUCAAGGACAGCUUCUGCAGCCGAGGCACAUGGCGAAUGACUGGAGGGGUGGAAUGCACAAAUGAGUGAGCAGCUAGUCGACCUGUCUCUGAUUUCCUUCCACUCCAGUCUGUCCUGCUGCUACUUCGAGUCUUUCCAUAAGUACCGUUUGGGUUUUGCUACUUCCCUGCUCAAAGUCUCUCCACAGCUCCCUGUUUCUUAGCACGUCUAGUCUACUGUCUAUGCCUUUUCCCAGUGGUGGGCCUGCCUCACUCAGCCCAUGGGUCACACUCACCAAACAGCCACCUUGGCCUUCUCUAGGCCAGCCCCAUGCUGGCCACUUUCCCAGGGACAGAAACAUGCAGCCCCAUGGUUAGCCUCAUGGAGGCCCCAUACUGGAGAAGGAGGAAGAGGGGAGAUAAGCAGCAACAAUACCAAGUCAAGUGUAGGGGGUUAAGAGUCUGUACAGGAGCAGCAGAGCUUGUACCUCAGGAGAAGGAGAGGGAGUAGAGAGAGCAUCUGGGAAGGAGGAGGUCAUGCUAAGCAAAGUUUGGAAGGCUGACUAGGAGUUCAGAUGGAUCAGAGGGAAGGCCAUUCUCAGCAGAGGGAAGAGCAUGUGCAAAGGCAGCAGACUGCCAGAAUGAUUACCUAGGGGACUUAAGAAUCUCUGAGCCACUCUUAGAGAUUGAUGGUGGAGCGGAGAUCGGGACUCUGGAGCCUCAGCUCUGCUGUUUACUUGCAAACAUUCAUGGGCAAACAAUGCCUUCUCUUCUCUGAGCCUGAAGACCCACAUCUGUAAAAUAGAUGUAACGAACCCUUCCUGGGUAGGCCUGAGAGAAAGUGGAUGUUUGUAAAGGCUUAGCCACAUAAACUGUACUAGUUAUUGACGUGAGAACUUCAGUCAAAUCCCCAUCCCAUGGUAGGGUGGUGCUUGAGGACAAAGCAGAGUGGCCAGAAAAAAAGCCUUCCCUUCACCCACCCAGCCCCACCUGCCCACACACAGACCCCCAUUAACUGCUUGAAAUUCUACUUCUCUGUGUUCCUUUCUGAAUGUUUUAGGACUUCCGGAGGCUACUGGUCAGAGGCAAAUU